rnacentral:tRNA from 1 species
AAGAAAAGAAGGCACUCGGAGAAUUCUUGUCUUGAAAACAAGAAGAGGGUGUUCGACUCACUCACCCUUCUCUUA